AACUACCACAACAAGAGGACAUAGUCUUAAAUUAGAGGGGCAAAGGUCUAAAAAUAAUAUCAGGAAGUAUUACUUUACUGAGAGGGUAGUGGAUGCAUGGAAUAGCCUUCCAGCUGAAGUGGUAGAGAUUAACACAGUAAAGGAGUUUAAGCAUGCGUGGGAUAGGCAUAAGGCUAUCCUAACUAUAAGAUAGGGCUAGGGACUAAUGAAAGUAUUUAGAAAAUUGGGCAGACUAGAUGGGCUGAAUGGUUCUUAUCUGCCGUCACAUUCUAUGUUUCUAUCACUACACAGCACUAGGGGGCAAUGGAGUGCAAUCUACUGCUAGAACAGUGAAAGACAAUGUCCCAGCACACUGUGUGUGACAACACUGAUAUCUAUACCAGCAAAGCACACACCAAACAAACACAUGCUAUGCUGUUCUAAUUUUUAUAGAAAGAGCUUAGCAGUGAAGGGGUUAAGGCUGUGACUCCAAGCCCAUGGAAUUCACAAGUUAAAGAUUCUCACUUUAAUGCUUUGUUUGCUGUUCUGUCUCAACGUUUUGUCCAGAUUACAGCUGUGUUUGAGAUAUGCCAUAAACUUACAAUGAGAAACACCACAACCACAACAGGCAGAGGAUGGUUUAGCAGAACCUUUUCCAAAUGAAGAUUGGCCUAAUUAUACCCUAAAUGGGAUCGUGGUAGGAUUAAUGGUACUAUGAGAAUAAUCAUAGACAAUAGAUUGAGUAACGAUAUGUCAGUCAGCGAUCACAAAC